UGCCAGCCGCCGCGGUAAUACGUAGGGUGCAAGCGUUGUCCGGAUUUAUUGGGCGUAAAGGGCUCGUAGGCGGUUCGUCGCGUCUGGUGUGAAAGCCCGCUGCUUAACGGUGGGUUUGCGUUGGAUACGGGCGGGCUUGAGUGCAGUAGGGGAGACUGGAAUUCUCGGUGUAACGGUGGAAUGUGUAGAUAUCGGGAAGAACACCUAUGGCGAAGGCAGGUCUCUGGGCUGUUACUGACGCUGAGGAGCGAAAGCGUGGGGAGCGAACAGGAUUAGAUA
rnacentral:rRNA from 1 species